UCCAUUUAGUUGCUGCAGCUGUUGACACAGCUAAUCAUCGCGAUGGCGUCCACCCAUCUUUUAAAGGCGUCUGACUCAGCAGCCAUCUGAAGAGGACUGAGGGCUAAGCCGGCAAAAGUAUUUCUUGGGCGGCCCCCCCCCAUCAGAAGCCAGUGCAGAAGAGACCACUACAGAGCACAUCCAUAGGCUCCACUCCCGGAUCUCUAGGUAUUGUUCAAGCAAGAAUUUGCAACCCUAAGACUGGGGAAGCUGAGGAUGGAGGAGCAACAGAUGUCUUACUCUAGAAUAUAACAGAUAUUAUGUGUAGUGCACACACCGCUUGCAGAUGAAGUACGUUGGCAGUUUGAUUGUGGCAGGAGGGAGGCAAGCUGCAUGAUACCAUCGUCUGCAGCUGCAGCAAGAACACCAUGCGGUCUUCAGGGGUGAAGUUGCCCUGGCCUGACUCUUCUGGGCAAGUCGACCAUCCGCUGGAUCCUUUAUCGACUGACGGCAGAAGAUCGCGUAGCAGAGGUUGCUCCCGUGCACGU